UCAAAACUUUCAACAACGGAUCUCUUGGUUCUGGCAUCGAUGAAGAACGCAGCAAAAUGCGAUAAGUAAUGUGAAUUGCAGAAUUCAGUGAAUCAUCGAAUCUUUGAACGCACAUUGCGCCCGCCAGCAUUCUGGCGGGCAUGCCUGUUCGAGCGUCA
rnacentral:rRNA from 1 species